AAAAAAGAAAAAGAAAAAAAGGAAUGAAUCACGCAAUAUUUGAGACUAACACGACUCACCCUUAUUAAUUUACACAAUUGUGUUGGCCUCAUACAUCAAAACCACAAAAAAAUCUCAUAGGUAAACACAACUUAAUCGUGUUUAGAAAAUCUAUGUGUUUAUUAGACUAGCGAGUUUCUGAAAACCACUGGUAUGACUCCUCUAACCUGAUAUUCUCAUCACAACCUCAUCU
rnacentral:lncRNA from 1 species